rnacentral:rRNA from 1 species
GUGGGGAAUAUUGCGCAAUGGGCGGAAGCCUGACGCAGCGACGCCGCGUGGGGGAUGACGGCCUUCGGGUUGUAAACCUCUUUCAGCAGGGACGAAGCGCAAGUGACGGUACCUGCAGAAGAAGCACCGGCCAACUACGUGCCAGCAGCCGCGGUAAUACGUAGGGUGCAAGCGUUGUCCGGAAUUAUUGGGCGUAAAGAGCUCGUAGGCGGUUGGUCGCGUCGGCUGUGAAAACCCGGAGCUCAACUCCGGGCCUGCAGUCGAUACGGGCCGACUUGAGUGUUGCAGGGGAGACUGGAAUUCCUGGUGUAGCGGUGAAAUGCGCAGAUAUCAGGAGGAACACCGGUGGCGAAGGCGGGUCUCUGGGCAACAACUGACGCUGAGGAGCGAAAGCGUGGGGAGCGAACAGGAUUAGAUACCCUGGUAGUCCACGCCGUAAACGUUGGGCGCUAGGUGUGGGGGCCAUUCCACGGUCUCCGUGCCGCAGCUAACGCAUUAAGCGCCCCGCCUGGGGAGUACGGCCGCAAGGC